UACGGAGGAUGCGAGCGUUAUCCGGAUUUAUUGGGUUUAAAGGGUGCGUAGGCGAACUGUCAAGUCAGCGGUAAAAUUGAGAGGCUCAACCUCUUCCCGCCGUUGAAACUGGUGGUCUUGAGUGGAUGAGAAGUACGCGGAAUGCGUGGUGUAGCGGUGAAAUGCAUAGAUAUCACGCAGAACUCCGAUUGCGAAGGCAGCGUACCGGCAUCCAACUGACGCUGAGGCACGAAAGCGUGGGGAUCAAACAGG
rnacentral:rRNA from 1 species